GCUGACGAGUGGCGAACGGGUGAGUAAUGUAUCGGAACGUACCAUUCAGUGGGGGAUAACGUAGCGAAGAUUACGCUAAUACCGCAUAUUCUGUGAGCAGGAAAGCAGGGGAUCGCAAGACCUUGCGCUGAUUGAGCGGCCGAUAUCAGAUUAGCUAGUUGGUGAGGUAAAGGCUCACCAAGGCGACGAUCUGUAGCGGGUCUGAGAGGAUGAUCCGCCACACUGGAACUGAGACACGGUCCGGACUCCUACGGGAGGCAGCAGUGGGGAAUUUUGGACAAUGGGGGCAACCCUGAUCCAGCCAUGCCGCGUGAGUGAAGAAGGCCUUCGGGUUGUAAAGCUCUUUCGGCCGGGAAAAAAUCGCAUAGGUUAAUACCCUGUGUGGAUGAUGGUACCGGAAUAAGAAGCACCGGCUAACUACGUGCCAGCAGCCGCGGUAAUACGUAGGGUGCGAGCGUUAAUCGGAAUUACUGGGCGUAAAGCGUGCGCAGGCGGUUUUGUAAGACAGGCGUGAAAUCCCCGGGCUCAACCUGGGAACUGCGCUUGUGACUGCAAGGCUAGAGUACGGCAGAGGGGGGUGGAAUUCCACGUGUAGCAGUGAAAUGCGUAGAGAUGUGGAGGAACACCAAUGGCGAAGGCAGCCCCCUGGGUCGAUACUGACGCUCAUGCACGAAAGCGUGGGUAGCAAACAGGAUUAGAUACCCUGGUAGUCCACGCCCUAAACGAUGUCAACUAGGUGUUGGGUGGGUAAAACCAUUUAGUACCGUAGCUAACGCGAGAAGUUGACCGCCUGGGGAGUACGGCCGCAAGGUUAAAACUCAAAGGAAUUGACGGGGACCCGCGCAAGCGGUGGAUGAUGUGGAUUAAUUCGAUGCAACGCGAAGAACCUUACCUGGCCUUGACAUACAGCGUGAAAGGUGGAGAAACCCAUUGACGGUCCGAAAGGAUGCUGGGGCUGUACAGGUGCUGCAUGGUUGUCGUCAGCUCGUGUCGUGAGAUGUUGGCUUAAGUGCCGCAACGAGCGCAACCCUUGUGUUUAGUUGCUCAUUGGCAACAGUGAGAUCUCUAAACAGACUGCCUCGCUUUAAACGAGGAGGAAGGUGAGGAUGACGUCAAAUCAGUAUGGCCCUUACGGCCAGGGCUGCACACGUGCUACAAUGCUCGGUACAGAGGGAUGCAAGACCGCGAGGUGGAGCAAAUCCUAGAAAACCGAGCCCAGUUCAGAUUGAAGGCUGCAACUCGCCUUCAUGAAGCCGGAAUCGCUAGUAAUGGCGUAUCAGCUACGACGCCGUGAAUACGUUCCCGGGCCUUGUACACACCGCCCGUCACAUCAUGGAAGCUGUCUGCACCCGAAGUCGCC
rnacentral:rRNA from 1 species